rnacentral:rRNA from 1 species
UACGAAGGGUGCAAGCGUUACUCGGAAUUACUGGGCGUAAAGCGUGCGCAGGCGGCUCAUCAAGUCAGAGGUGAAAGCCCAGGGCUCAACCCUGGAACUGCCUUUGAAACUGUUGGGCUUGAGUACGGGAGAGGUGAGUGGAAUUCCGAGUGUAGAGGUGAAAUGCGUAGAUAUUCGGAAGAACACCAGUGGCGAAGGCGGCUCACUGGACCAUAACUGACGCUGAUGCACGAUAGCGUGGGGAGCAAACAGG